GGCUGGUAGAGUGCAGUGGUGUUUAGAACUAAUUGAUCACAACCAGUUAUAGAUUUGUUUCUUCUCCACUCCCACUGCUUCCUCUGACUAGCCUUAA
ensembl:misc_RNA Y_RNA Y RNA